CUCCAGUUGUGCCUCCUAACUGACUGGCUGCCAUUCAGCCCAGCUCAGGUUUGGGAAAGGGGAGCUUACCACAAUAGCAUUGGGAGAAUGCAUCAGUGCUCUCAGCUCAUUGAGAUCAUUCUCAGCCUGGAUAAAAACAAAGGGAGGGUGAUGGAGGGGAGAGACAGAGAGAAAGAGAGAAAUGCUGCAGCUCUAAUGGAGUCCUGACGCCCUGACGUAACCGGAAAUUCCUACACUACCAGGCUUCCGGGUAGAAUUAUAAUCCAUGGGUGGCGCAUGAGAACCUAGUUAGCAUAAUAAUCAACUGACAACAAUAACACACCAAAUUAAAAUUCAUUUGAAUGUC